rnacentral:rRNA from 1 species
UACGUAGGGUGCAAGCGUUAAUCGGAAUUACUGGGCGUAAAGCGCACGUAGGCGGCUUGGUAAGUUAGAGGUGAAAGCCUGGAGCUCAACUCCAGAAUUGCCUUUAAGACUGCCGAGCUAGCAGGUGAGAGAGGUGAGCGGAAUUCCACGUGUAGCGGUGAAAUGCGUAGAGAUGUGGAGGAACACCAGUGGCGAAGGCGGCUCUUUGGUCUGUAACUGACGCUGAGGCGCGAAAGCGUGGGGAGCGAACAGG